AAGGGAUUUGAGGUAAAAGAGUCACCCAUAGGCUCCCCUCAGAGUGAGCUCGUUUCAUUGCUGCAUCCUUUCAUUUUAAUUACAAUCAUGGACAAUCUUGUCCCAUCAAAACAAGUAGAGGAUGCUUCUUGCAGCACCACCACAGAGGUCCUGAGUUCAACAGAAAUAUCUGCAGAUCCUGUUGAUGAAUUCCCAAUUCAAUGCACAAAACCAAGAAGGAAAAGAAUGAAACAGGUCCAGGACUUCUUUAGAGGAGUGAGCCAGACAAUCAGACGACCUCUCAGCAGAGGAUUCCAUUCCAGCUGAAUCCACGAUGCUGAUUCAUU